rnacentral:rRNA from 1 species
GGAGUCUGGACCGUGUCUCAGUUCCAAUGUGGCCGUUCAUCCUCUCAGACCGGCUACUGAUCGUUGCCUUGGUAGGCCGUUGCCCCACCAACUAGCUAAUCAGACGCAGACCCAUCGCAAAGCGAUAGCUUACAAGUAGAGGCCAUCUUUAAUAUCUCUUUCAUGCGGAGGAGAUACAACAUUCGGUAUUAGCAGUCCUUUCGGACUGUUGUCCCCAUCUUUGCGGCAGGUUGUCUACGCGUUACUCACCCGUUUGCCACUCGACUCAAUAAAAGCAAGCUUCUAAAUCGUCUCGUUCGACUUGCAUGUGUUAAGCACGCCGCCAGCGUUCGUCCUCGAGCCAGGAGUCAAACUACU